rnacentral:rRNA from 1 species
UACGUAGGGGCCAAGCGUUGUCCGGAUUUAUUGGGCGUAAAGAGCUCGUAGGCGGUUGGGUAAGUCGGGUGUGAAAACUCCAGGCUCAACUUGGAGAUGCCACCCGAUACUGCUCUGACUUGAGUUCGGUAGGGGAGUGGGGAAUUCCUGGUGUAGCGGUGAAAUGCGCAGAUAUCAGGAGGAACACCGGUGGCGAAGGCGCCACUCUGGGCCGAAACUGACGCUGAGGUGCGAGAGCGUGGGGAGCGAACCGG